AGCGAACGCUGGCGGCAGGCUUAACACAUGCAAGUCGAACGGGCAUCUUCGGAUGUCAGCGGCAGACGGGUGAGUAACACGUGGGAACGUACCCUUCGGUUCGGAGCAACUCUGGGAAACUGGAGCUAAUACCGGAUACGCCCUUAUGGGGAAAGGUUUACUGCCGAAGGAUCGGCCCGCGUCUGAUUAGCUAGUUGGUGGGGUAACGGCCUACCAAGGCGACGAUCAGUAGCUGGUCUGAGAGGAUGAUCAGCCACACUGGGACUGAGACACGGCCCAGACUCCUACGGGAGGCAGCAGUGGGGAAUAUUGGACAAUGGGCGCAAGCCUGAUCCAGCCAUGCCGCGUGAGUGAUGAAGGCCUUAGGGUUGUAAAGCUCUUUUGUCCGGGACGAUAAUGACGGUACCGGAAGAAUAAGCCCCGGCUAACUUCGUG
rnacentral:rRNA from 1 species